GGGCCCCCACUCUGGUGUGGCGCGUUCUGUGCCCGCCCUUGUAUACAAGUGAAAACCACAGCGUCUGUGUGUUUCUACCCUUAGACUCUUAGCUGAAGAAGUGUCUUUAGAAUAAAUCUCUUGACACCUGGUAUAGAAUAUAAGUGGAAAUACUUCAUUUUUGUCUUUUUCUAGAGACAAAAUUCAGAUGGCCGGCCAUGGUUUGUUUAAAAAAGAUCCUAAGACUGGAGACUUAAUGGAAACACAACCAAGUAAACUGCAGUGUGCAAAAUGGAUGUUGAUAGCUGUGAGGAUAUCAGACACAAUCAGUGUUAUGAUGAUGUGCCGUAUGAUAACAGGAUAUGUUGCAAAAAUAUGCGUACAUGUCCGGGUGAUUCUGGUGGUGGACUGAUAUAUGAUAAUAAGAUCUAUAGUGUACACAUGGGUAGUAGUAGUUGUGGCUGUACUAGACUAUCUGUUUCUGUAAAAGUUCACUGAAUAAACCAGAAAAUCUAUCCAAAAAGUAAUGGAAAAUAACUGAAUUAAAAUAACAUUCAGAAUAAACAAUCAUCUCUACAUGAAA